CGGAGAAGAGGACGGAGGUGAUGGAGGAGAAGUCAUCGGAGAAACAGGGGAAGAAGACUCAGGAGACAUUGGUCCCGGCGGAGAAGUCACCGGAGAAGAGGACGGAGAAACAGGGGAUGAGGACUUAGGUGACAUGGAUCCCGGCGGAGAAGUCACCGGAGCAGAGGAGGGAGAAACGGGGGAGGAUGAUUUAGGUGGCAUAGGCGCCGGUGGAGAAGUAGCCGGAGAAACAGGGGAAGAAGAAGACUUAGGUGGCAUUGAACCUGGCGGAGAGUUUCCCGGCGUGGAGGCUUGAGGAGGCGGAGUCGAAGUUCUGACAGACAAGACAACGACGGCAAGCUUUUGUCCCUUCUUACAGUUAUCUUCAUUACCGCUGAUGAAGUAAAACGGACCAGA
rnacentral:lncRNA from 1 species